rnacentral:rRNA from 1 species
UACAGAGGGGGCAAGCGUUGUUCGGAAUUACUGGGCGUAAAGGGCGCGUAGGCGGCCUGUUAAGUCGAACGUGAAAUCCCCGGGCUCAACCCGGGAACUGCGUCCGAUACUGGCAGGCUUGAAUUCGGGAGAGGGAUGUGGAAUUCCAGGUGUAGCGGUGAUAUGCGUAGAUAUCUGGAGGAACACCGGUGGCGAAGGCGGCAUCCUGGACCGAUAUUGACGCUGAUGCGCGAAAGCCAGGGGAGCAAACGGG